rnacentral:rRNA from 2 species
GGCGUGCUAUACAUGCAGUCGAGCGGACUUUAAAAGCUUGCUUUUAAAGUUAGCGGCGGACGGGUGAGUAACACGUGGGCAACCUGCCUGUAAGACUGGGAUAACUUCGGGAAACCGGAGCUAAUACCGGAUAAUCCUUUUCCUCUCAUGAGGAAAAGCUGAAAGACGGUUUACGCUGUCACUUACAGAUGGGCCCGCGGCGCAUUAGCUAGUUGGUGAGGUAACGGCUCACCAAGGCGACGAUGCGUAGCCGACCUGAGAGGGUGAUCGGCCACACUGGGACUGAGACACGGCCCAGACUCCUACGGGAGGCAGCAGUAGGGAAUCUUCCGCAAUGGACGAAAGUCUGACGGAGCAACGCCGCGUGAGUGAUGAAGGUUUUCGGAUCGUAAAACUCUGUUGUUAGGGAAGAACAAGUACAAGAGUAACUGCUUGUACCUUGACGGUACCUAACCAGAAAGCCACGG